rnacentral:rRNA from 1 species
UACGGAGGAUCCAAGCGUUAUCCGGAAUCAUUGGGUUUAAAGGGUCCGUAGGCGGCUAUAUAAGUCAGCGGUGAAAGUUUUCGGCUCAACCGAAAAAUUGCCGUUGAUACUGUAUUGCUUGAAUGAUUUUGAAGUAACUAGAAUAUGUAGUGUAGCGGUGAAAUGCAUAGAUAUUACAUGGAAUACCAAUUGCGAAGGCAGGUUACUAAGAAUUGAUUGACGCUGAUGGACGAAAGCGUGGGUAGCGAACAGG